GACGAACGCUGGCGGCGUGCCUAAUACAUGCAAGUCGAGCGGACCGGAUUGGGGCUUGCCUUGAUUCGGUCAGCGGCGGACGGGUGAGUAACACGUGGGCAACCUGCCCGCAAGACCGGGAUAACUCCGGGAAACCGGAGCUAAUACCGGAUAACACCGAAGACCGCAUGGUCUUCGGUUGAAAGGCGGCCUUUGGGCUGUCACUUGCGGAUGGGCCCGCGGCGCAUUAGCUAGCUGGUGAGGUAACGGCUCACCAAGGCGACGAUGCGUAGCCGGCCUGAGAGGGUGACCGGCCACACUGGGACUGAGACACGGCCCAGACUCCUACGGGAGGCAGCAGUAGGGAAUCUUCCGCAAUGGGCGAAAGCCUGACGGAGCGACGCCGCGUGAGCGAAGAAGGCCUUCGGGUCGUAAAGCUCUGUUGUGAGGGACGAAGGAGCGUCGUUCGAAGAGGGCGGCGCGGUGACGGUACCUCACGAGAAAGCCCCGGCUAACUACGUG
rnacentral:rRNA from 1 species